ensembl:lncRNA
GAAUCAGCUCAUGGAGCAUAUAUGGGAUGCUAGUCCCUGCAGCACACCUGGGAGAGGGGCUAGUUCAGUUUUUGGGAGCACGCUGUAACUCCCAGCAAGACCCUUGUAUGCAAGCAUCCUAUGUUGAGGAACCCUCAGGUCCCACAGUGUCUGUGCUCCUCACCUUCAAAGCAAGGAGUUAAUUGCUUCUACCACCUGCUGUGUCUUAUCUGUGGCUUCCCCUCCAGGGUGGGAUAAAGUCCUGCUGCCUCUGCUAGCAAGCAGAUGGAGAGAGCAGCUUUGCAAUCUGGCAGCACCAUUUACAAUAAGAUUUGAUGCCUGGCCUAUGCUGCAGCCAGUGGAAAAUCCAAAGGUGAAGGGCAGUGCUGUUUCCAGUAAAACCAUACUGGAAUAGCUCAAAGGGUAUGGGAGCAUCAAGGUUGUGGAGCCUUAGCUCUGUAAUGCCUGCACACCCCUUGGGUAUCUCUAUGGCUUUUUUCCCCCUAAAAGGAAAUGGCUAAAAAAUUGGGUAAUGAAAAUACAUCCGUUGGAGCAAUCUUGGGAGUGUCAGCCAGGUGUAGCUGGUGUUGUGGGACUUUGCUCUGAUGACCUGAGGAACCUAGAGAGAGGCUUUCUUGAGAAGAAAGUUCCUUGCAGUUGUGCUGUUCUGUGAUGUGGGUCUUGUCCUGGUUUCAGCCUUUUUUAGCAAGCUGGACAUCCCAGAAAUAGAAGCUAUUGCAAGUUCUGUGAAAAAAAGGCACCUGUUUCAAGGAAAGAUUAGUUCCCUGGGGUGGGAAAAGCUUCAUGAAAUCACACCCUUCCUUUGAAAUCCUGAGCAGAGACAAGAGGCAGCCCCAGGGCCAUUGAAGCCUCCCUGGGCUGUGGGCAUGGCUGAGAGCCAGGAGGGCUCAGCUGUGUCUCAGGCUGAGCAUCUUCCAAGUACAAACCCAGGUUACAGCUGCCAAAAUGUUGGUGUCCCUGGACUGCAGCUCUCAGCUUUGCCAUGUAUCCUGAGCGUGGAGACAACAGGCUUGCUUGGGAUGACUCUGUGAACUGGUUUACAUGAUCGCGACUCAGUUUAUUCAUGUGAAGGUGUUCAGGACUUUUAGGUCCUUAUCUCCUCCUUGCAGCAAACCGCCAAUUAACCAGAGCUCAGCAGCAGGGCUGCCCAGAGUGCAGCACAACUUCUGCUCAACUCUGUAGGCAUUUCCCAGCUGUCCAAGAGAGGUUUUGUCUGGAGAUGUCCGCUUUCACCAAAAAUUCUGCAAAGUUCCCUGGUAUAGCUUCUGUUUACACUCUGUACAAAUGUUUCUUGCUGAUAAAGCUUACUUUGCUGGUUCAGUUGAUGUAGGCUCUGGUGAUACUGUUAUUGCUACUGCAGACUGUAAAUGUGCUGGGUUUGCUGAGAUUCUUAACUUGGAGCUCCUGUAGUGUAGAUUAGACUUAAAUUACGGAAAAAUGUAAUCGUGGCAUCAAUGAAACGCCU